CCUACGGGAGGCAGCAGUAGGGAAUCUUCCGCAAUGGACGAAAGUCUGACGGAGCAACGCCGCGUGAACGAUGAAGGCCUUCGGGUCGUAAAGUUCUGUUGUUAGGGAAGAACAAGUGCUAGUUGAAUAAGCUGGCACCUUGACGGUACCUAACCAGAAAGCCACGGCUAACUACGUGCCAGCAGCCGCGGUAAUACGUAGGUGGCAAGCGUUGUCCGGAAUUAUUGGGCGUAAAGCGCGCGCAGGCGGUUUCUUAAGUCUGAUGUGAAGGCCCCCGGCUCAACCGGGGAGGGUCAUUGGAAACUGGGAAACUUGAGUGCAGAAGAGGAAAGUGGAAUUCCAAGUGUAGCGGUGAAAUGCGUAGAGAUUUGGAGGAACACCAGUGGCGAAGGCGACUUUCUGGUCUGUAACUGACGCUGAGGCGCGAAAGCGUGGGGAGCAAACAGGAUUAGAUACCCUGGUAGUCCACGCUGUAAACGAUGAGUGCUAAGUGUUAGAGGGUUUCCGCCCUUUAGUGCUGAAGUUAACGCAUUAAGCACUCCGCCUGGGGAUACGGUCGCAAGACUGAAACUUAAGGAAUUGACGG
rnacentral:rRNA from 1 species